rnacentral:rRNA from 1 species
GACGAACGCUGGCGGCGUGCUUAACACAUGCAAGUCGAACGGGCCCGCUCUCUUUUUUGGGGGUGGGUUGAGUGGCGAACGGGUGAGUAUCACGUGAGUAACCUGCCCCCUGCUCCUGGAUAACUGCUUGAAAGGGCGGCUAAUACGGGGUGUGCCGGCUGGUCCGCAUGGGCCUGGUCGGGAUAGUUUCAUCUUCGGGUGUUUCGGUGGGGGAUGGGCUCGCGGCCUAUCAGCUUGUUGGUGGGGUGAUGGCCCACCAAGGCGGUGACGGGGAGCCGGCCUGAGAGGGUGGGCGGCCGCACUGGGGCUGGGACACGUCCCAGCCUCCUGCGGGCGCCAGCUGUGGGGGGUAUUGCACGAUGGGCGGAAGCCUGAUGCAGCGGCGUCGCGUGAGGGAUGGAGGCCUUCGGGUUGGGCGCCUCUUUCUCCGGUGGUGAAGGCCCUGUCCGUUGCGGCGGGGUUGACGGUAGCCGGGUAUGAAGCGCCGGCUAACUACGUG